GGGAAGGUGGCUCAGUGGUAGAGUGCUUGCCUAGCAUGCAUGAAGCCCUGGGUUUGCUUUCUCA
rfam:Dipodomys ordii contig_8393, whole genome shotgun sequence.